rnacentral:misc_RNA from 1 species
GAUGAAGAACGCAGCGAAAUGCGAUAAGUAAUGUGAAUUGCAGAAUUCAGUGAAUCAUCGAAUCUUUGAACGCACCUUGCGCCCUUUGGCUAUUCCGAAGGGCAUGCCUGUUUGAGUAUCAUGAACACCUCAACUCUCAUGGCUUGCCAUGAUGAGCUUGGACUUUUGGGGGUCUUGCUGGCCUGUGGUCAGCUCCUCUCAAAUGAAUUAGCCUGCCAGUGUUUGGUGGCAUCACAGGUGUGAUAACUAUCUACGCUUGUGGUUUUCCACCAGGUAACCUUCAGUGAUGAAGGUUCGCUGGGGCUCAUAGACGUCUCUCCUCAGUGAGGACAGCUCUUUGAACGUUUGAUCUCAAAUCAGGUAGGACUACCCGCUGAACUUAAGCAUAUCAAUAAGCGGAGGA